GAGGCAGCCAGCAACCCUCUAGGUGCAGAGGAUCGGCUGAAAGUCAGUGGACCACCUCUGAAGUUUCUUUUACCCCCUGGAGGCAGUGAACUCAUCAAAUGGUGCCCGAACAGCAGGGACCUUUGGGACCUUUGGAACAUUUGGGACCUUUGGGACCUUAAAAAGAAGUUAGCCAAGGGAGUUGGUGUCAGGGGACGGGUCCUCUGCAGCAAGGACAGCGAAACACAACAGCUGUGCCGCGUUCCAGGCAACCUUGAAGGAGGGUCCUGGUCGAAAAGCAACAUUGCCAUGCCCAGGCGACCUUAUAGAAGAGUUCUGCCAUAACAUGCUGCUGAAACCUUGUAGGGGCUGCAAUAGCGCGCACUGACGUGUUUGCCGCUGGAGAUCGGGAAAUGGGAAAGCCAGUGUGAGAAGCUACCACGUCAGGACAAAAAUAGCAGCUGCUGGAACAUCAGUGCAACUUCCCUCCAGCCUGCCACAGCAGGGAGCCUCGGCCUGGACCUGGCAGCCUCAGUGACUGUGGAUUUAUUGACAUCCCACCCUUACAAGAUUCCCACGGGAAUUAUUGGACCAGUGAUAAUAAAUGGAAAAGCUAUGGGUGCAAUAGUGUUGGGGCGUUCAUCUGCUAGUCUAAUGGGACUGUUUAUUUUACCUGGAGUAAUUGAUGUGGACUAUUGUUGCCUUUUAAGCAAGGCAAACACCCUGGUUCAAGGAACAGCACGGUGGCCUCCCUUGGCCACUCAGUCCAUUACCCACAGACACCAAUGUGAUGGAUGGCAAAAAUGG